rfam:Sarcophilus harrisii ctg7180002454287, whole genome shotgun sequence.
CCAAAGGCUCUUUUAAGAGCCACUUCACAAUUUCUGAAAGAGCUUUU